GCAAGUCGAGGGGUAACAGAGGUGCUUGCACUUGCUGACGACCGGCGCACGGGUGGUAACGCGUAUACAAUCUGCCUUGUACUAGGGGAUAGCCUUUGGAAACGAAGAUUAAUACCCUAUAGUAAGUAAUUAUUGCAUCAUAAUUACUUUAAAGGUUACGGUACAAGAUGAGUAUGCGUCCUAUUAGUUAGUUGGUGAGGUAAUGGCUUACCAAGACGUCGAUAGGUAGGGGCCCUGAGAGGGGGAUC
rnacentral:rRNA from 1 species